rnacentral:rRNA from 1 species
GAGUUUGAUCAUGGCUCAGAUUGAACGCUGGCGGCGUGCCUAACACAUGCAAGUCGAGCGGUAACAGGUGUAGCAAUACAUGCUGACGAGCGGCGAACGGGUGAGUAAUGCUUCGGAAUCUACCUUAUGGUGGGGAAUAACUAGCCGAAAGGUUAGCUAAUACCGCAUACGUCCUACGGGAGAAAGCAGGGGAUCGUAAGACCUUGCGCCAAAAGAUGAGCCGAAGUCGGAUUAGCUAGUUGGUAGGGUAACGGCCUACCAAGGCGACGAUCCGUAGCUGGUCUGAGAGGACGACCAGCCACACUGGGACUGAGACACGGCCCAGACUCCUACGGGAGGCAGCAGUGGGGAAUAUUGGACAAUGGGGGAAACCCUGAUCCAGCGACGCCGCGUGUGUGAAGAAGGCCUGCGGGUUGUAAAGCACUUUUAGUGGGGAUGAAAUGUGCAGGGUUAAUACCUCUGCAUUUUGACCUAACCCACAGAAAAAGCACCGGCUAACUCUGUGCCAGCAGCCGCGGUAAU